AUUGAACGCUGGCGGCAGGCCUAACACAUGCAAGUCGAGCGGAUGAAGGGAGCCUGCUCCUGGAUUCAGCGGCGGACGGGUGAGUAAUGCCUAGGAAUCUGCCUGGUAGUGGGGGAUAACGUCCGGAAACGGGCGCUAAUACCGCAUACGUCCUGAGGGAGAAAGUGGGGGAUCUUCGGACCUCACGCUAUCAGAUGAGCCUAGGUCGGAUUAGCUAGUUGGUGGGGUAAAGGCCUACCAAGGCGACGAUCCGUAACUGGUCUGAGAGGAUGAUCAGUCACACUGGAACUGAGACACGGUCCAGACUCCUACGGGAGGCAGCAGUGGGGAAUAUUGGGCAAUGGGCGAAAGCCUGAUCCAGCCAUGCCGCGUGUGUGAAGAAGGUCUUCGGAUUGUAAAGCACUUUAAGUUGGGAGGAAGGGCAGUAAGUUAAUACCUUGCUGUUUUGACGUUACCAACAGAAUAAGCACCGGCUAACUUCGUG
rnacentral:rRNA from 1 species